rnacentral:tRNA from 1 species
GGAUACGUGCCUGAAACAUUAAGGCUCACCUUGAUGAGGUGAAAAUAGAGACUAAAACCCUCUCGUCUCCU